UGCUCCCAUGUUGACUGCUCUCUCAGGCAUUAUCUCAGCUGUUCAUCUUAGGGUACCAUUUUACUGAAGUACUCCUGGAGUCCUGGAUUCUCUGAGAUUAGUUCAGGACAAUGACUUUGACACACAUCAGAUGCCAUGUGCCUUCUUUCCGCUGCAGAUAGCUAGGAAAGCUUUUAAGCAGUCAUGGCAGCCUUCAGAAAGAUACAGUAAUUUUAACAUUUUGAAGAGAAGUGACAUCAGGAAAAGCAAUGGCAAACUGAAGAUGACUGCAAUGAAACGAGCCAGUGAAUGGCUUGGUUGAUGAGAAUUCCUCUCUGGAUAAGGAGAAGAUUCAGGAUGCCUCACAAAUUCUCCAGAUAGUAGUUUCACAUGAGAAGACUGCAAGAAAGUGGCUUCCAGUGGAUUUAGAGCUCUGAGAGAUAAGGGAUCACCAUCUUUGGCCAAAAUGCAGUUAGUGACCUGAUGGACAUAGGAUUCACAUACUUCUUUUCUUAAUAGAUAUUAUGAAUCUUCAGAAAGACAAGUUUUAUCAUACUGAGUGAUCCUUCUUCAAUCCCUAGUGAAAAUUUUAUAAAAGACAAAGAGAAAAUGAAAAGAAAUCAAGUUCUGAGACAUUAUUUAAAUUUGGAGGGCAUUAAAUAUUAAAAUUGUUAAAAGGUAAUGGAAAUAAUAUAAAGUUGGUUUAUUUGCUCAAAGUUAAAA